AAUAAGACAAGAAGACCCUAUGGAACUUUAGUUCAUUAAUACAAGUAAAACUCAAGCCUACAGGCCCUAGCCUACUCCCCCUGCAUUAAAAAUUUUGGUUGAGGUGACCUCAGGGCAUAAUCCAACCUCUGAACAACCUAAACUAAGACCGCACUAUUCUAAGUGAAUACACAUUGACCCAAUAAUUUGAUCAAUGGAAUAAGUUAUGCUAAGGAUAACAGUGCAAUCCUAUUCUAGAGUCCAUAGCGACAAUAGGGAUGACUACCUCGAUGUUGAAUCAGGACAUCUUAAUGCUGGAGCCGCUAUUAAGAGUUUGUUUGUUCAACGAUUAAAGUCCUACGUGAUCUGAAUUCAGACCAGAAUAAUCCAGGUCAGUUCCUAUCUAUU
rnacentral:ncRNA from 1 species